AGCAGCGUGGCUUAGUGGAAAGAGCCCGGGGUUGGGGGUCGGAGGAUGUGGGUUCUAAUCCCGCCUCUGCCA
rnacentral:tRNA from 1 species